CAACUGUUGAAAAAAUCUGUUCCUGCGUGCCGCUUCUGAUAAGCACAUCGUGAUUGUCCUGGUCCUACCCCGUUUCUCCCACUCAUCGGAAUAGGUUUCAGAAGAUGGACAUUACGCAAAAAAAUAGUCUUCACAAUAUACUUAUCAGGUUGUAUGUAGAUCAUGGUGAACCUGAUCAGUACGGUGAUACACCACAAGCGCAGCCAGUUUUCCAGAGGACAAGGGCACAGGAAGCGACGGAGGCGACGGAACACGUUUGGUACGAAGAUUUAAGUGGCGGCAGUCGCUGCUGUGAGGGCGGUUAGGUGACUAGGUAGAUUAUAACAACCCAACACAGGAAGUGAGUCUGGAGGAGGAAUCUACCCUGGCUAUCUUUCUUAGGGUCGAUUUGUAUACCUCCGCUUGAUAGUUUAUGUAUAAACGUAUGGGAAUUGAGCGGAUUAGACAAAACUUGCCGUUAGUCACUAAAAUUUCAUCCGAACACUUUUCGUGGGUGUUGCGGUGUAUCUGUCAACUACGGAUGAGAAGAAGAUGAAUCUCAUGAAGAUGAUGUGAACGGGAGUGUGCGCCUGACUUCCUUAUCACUCUGGAGUUCGCAGUGUGCACUCAAUCCGCUUGGAGGAAACAAAGUUACCGUGGCUAACACCUGGAAGCUCCGUCAGAAAAAGAAGCACCACAACAACUCUGAGACUUACACCUUUAUGCUGUUGGAACGAAGGCUAGGAAUGUCCUGUUUUGUGGCACAUUACAGCGAGAUGAUGAAAGAUCAUAUGGAGAAGUUCCAUUGCGGCUUCAAAAUGCUCAACAAUGACAGUAUUUGUCCAAAGCCACUAAUUAAUAGAAACUUCAUAGUAACGACCCGACGGGAACAAGAAGGCGAGAUGCUUACCGAGCAAGGUGGAUCGAUCAAGAGGUGGACUAUUUGCGGAACCUCCGCAUACUGCGUGCUUGGCGACGUGCAGCCGUAGCAUCCAAUUGAAGUAGAUUAGAGUCCUAAUUUUGAAUUUAUUACAU